rnacentral:rRNA from 1 species
UACGUAGGGUGCGAGCGUUGUCCGGAAUUAUUGGGCGUAAAGAGCUCGUAGGCGGUUUGUCACGUCGGCUGUGAAAUCCCGAGGCUUAACCUCGGGCUUGCAGUCGAUACGGGCAGACUUGAGUGGUGCAGGGGAGACUGGAAUUCCUGGUGUAGCGGUGAAAUGCGCAGAUAUCAGGAGGAACACCGAUGGCGAAGGCAGGUCUCUGGGCAUUAACUGACGCUGAGGAGCGAAAGCGUGGGGAGCGAACAGG